rnacentral:rRNA from 1 species
UACGUAGGGUCCGAGCGUUGUCCGGAAUUACUGGGCGUAAAGAGCUCGUAGGUGGUUUGUCGCGUUGUUCGUGAAAACUCACAGCUCAACUGUGGGCGUGCGGGCGAUACGGGCAGACUAGAGUACUGCAGGGGAGACUGGAAUUCCUGGUGUAGCGGUGGAAUGCGCAGAUAUCAGGAGGAACACCGGUGGCGGAGGCGGGUCUCUGGGCCAUUACUGACGCUGAGGAGCGAAAGCGUGGGGAGCGAACAGG